GAUGAAGAACGUAGCGAAUUGCGAUAAGUAAUGUGAAUUGCAGAAUUCAGUGAAUCAUCGAAUCUUUGAACGCACAUUGCGCCCCUUGGUAUUCCGAGGGGCAUGCCUGUUCGAGCGUCAUUAUAACCCCUCAAGCUCAGCUUGGUGUUGGGGCCUGCUGCACUGGCAGCCCUUAAAAUCAGUGGCGGCGCCAUCUGGCUCUAAGCGUAGUAAUUCUUCUCGCUAUGGAGUCCUGGUGGAUGCUUGCCAUCAACCCCCAAUUUUUCUAUGGUUGACCUCGGAUCAGGUAGGGAUACCCGCUGAACUUAAGCAUAUCAAUAAGCGGAGGA
rnacentral:misc_RNA from 1 species